GAAGUUCGUGCCUUUUGCAGUGGGGAGGAGCCUGGCCCUUCCUCUUCCUGGGUGUUACCUGGAAUUCAAUCUGCCAGGUGGGAAGCAUGUACUAACGAGACUCUCAGUCUUCCUUUGUGGAGAGUCCCUGUUUCCUUUUCUUUUCCCUUUUCACCCAAUAAAUUCCUUUUUUCUCCCCUUUUAAAUUAUAUGUGAGCCUUUUUUCAUGAUCAUGUGACGAGGACCCUGUCUUUAGCUGAGCUACGGAGAGAGUCCUGCAACACCUUCACGUAGACAUUCUUUCUCUCAGGAACUCAGGAAUGAAAGCUUUGUGGGAACAUCACUUCACAAUCAUUGAAGAAGUGGGAAAGAAACUCUGGAAGUUUCUAGUUGGCAAUUAAGUGCUCUGGCCACACUUCACUUCUGCUCACAACUCAUUGGUCAGAACUAGUCACAAGGCACCAUCCCACCACAAGAAUGCCAGAAAAGUUCAUAGUUCCAUCUGUACAAAAGGAGAAUGGAGCUAUUCUGGAGAGAGAAUGGCAGUGGAUUAAAAGUUCUGAACCUGCCUGGGUCUCAAUCACAGAAACCUGAAACAGCCAUUGGACCCCCAUUGCUAAUCCCUGUGCAGUCUGUAGUCACACCUGGAGUGUCAGCUUUUAUAGGUGGAGAAACAUAAGAAAGCUCUGUGGGUCUUAUGGUGCAUGUAACAUUCUGGAGAAGCUUUUGGGUCCUCAUUCCAUGUUGGCUACCACUGCUAAGAUUUGAGAAAGUCCAUGCAUGGGAGCAGGACAAAGAGAAAUAAUCUGAUCAUCCCUAAGAGGUUUCAAGUCACUUUUGAUAAAACUACAUCUACUUUAACAUUCCAAUAUCACAUCUGACUCUAAAUGGAAUCUUUACACCACCACCACCACCACUCGCUGGCCAGGAUUUGCUUACGUACGAGAACGAAGCAUAGACUGAGAAGCCUAGAAGUUCACCUGUUUUUAUGGGCAGUAAGAAGAAAGAUGGCUUGAUGGUGCCAAUUACCCAGCUACCUGUCCACUGAUCAGGGAGCUUAACAUAAGCUCUGUGUCCACAUAUCCAGUAUAACCUGGUGGGUACUGUCCAGUCCCAGUGGAAUUCUGGGUGGGCCCAAACAGUCUGCAACUUUGGAAAUUUACUUCUGUGUAAUUGGAACUUCACCAUGUAACUUUUUGUAGUACCAUUAUACAGCUUUUGCUCAAGACAACUAAGCCGCGCUACAGGAUGAGUGAAUCUUUUUCCUUUUCUAGCUAUGCAAUACUGUCCAAUAAUUGAGACUUUUAGAAUCUAAAAAUUGUCAGGCUGGUUCUUUUGGGCUGGGAAUUCAUCAGGAACUGGAUCUGUAGGAACUAAUUCUCGGGCUUCCUAUGGCCAUUGAUUUCCUGUUAUGGUUUCUCCACAAACAUAACAUGAGGUGACAUUUAGAGACUGGGCUACAUGCUUGGCUAAUUGCAAAAACAAAUUUUUAAUUUUUCCUGGAAUCUCAGGUACUGGCACAUUUAGUUUAUCAUAGAAAGUCUGAAAUACUGGUUCUGGAUAGCGUCUUUGAACCUCUCCUUUUAUUAGGAUGCUUACACUAGGAUCUAGUCCUUUUCCAUUAAUGUCUAAUGUUACAUCUUUUCCUUUAUUUUACUUUGGGUCUGAGGGGUUUGUGAUUAUCAUUUCUAAAAGGUUGCAGCUCACACUCAUGCAGGAGGGGCUGACUUUUCUUUUUUGGAGUCAAACAGGAUCUUUUUUAUCUUCUUUUUAAGUAACCCAAAUGACACAAGACCAGUAUUGACACAUCUCACAUAAACAUGAUUUUUGACAGAUGUACUUAUUUUCUGCUGUGUAACUUUUUUCCCAAUCUAGAGAACCACAUCUUAUCUCAUGCUGUUUACUAUUAAUAGCGGCACAGGCAUCAAAUUUUAAGGUUACAGUUUUGGGGACCCCUCAUUCUUGUCUUCUAUUACUUUACUUGUGUCACUUAGAAAAGGACCAGUCCUUAAUUUUAUUUUAAAAACUGUGAUCAUGGGAGGCUUAAAGGGGUCAUAGCACACAUCGGGCUGGUCACUUCCUGUAUUACAUACUUUGGAUAGAAUAGCAUUAUACAAACAAGUUUCUUUUAGAGUCCUGGUAUACUUAUAAUAACCAUAAAAUAAUAGGACUGUAGCAAUCUUUUGUCCUACCUCAGUGACUUGAUGUAUGUACUGGGAACAGCCCUCAGUCUGAGGAAGGUCAGUUGAAGUCCUUACUGUACAAGUCCAAAUUUUAAGGAAAAUGAGUCCCGCGAUGAGUUUCCUCAUGCUUCGGCUGUGCAUGGACCAGUCAGCUUCUGGGUGUGACUGGAGCAGGGCUUGUCAUCUUCUUUAGAGUCACUUUGCAGGGGUUGGCGAAGCUGCUCCCAUCCACGUACAGCUCCCAGUCUACUGAUGUUUAAGGAUGGUCUCAGAGGUUGGGCCCACUAGAAUAAACUGAGUCCAAUACUUCUACACAGUUAUGUUUAACUGGGCUCUCUGACACUGGGAGCAAGGUGGUGGGGUUUAGGGUGUUGCAAACUUCAGUUCUUAUGUGGGGAUUUUCACAGAGCAAGCUUUGGUAUCUAGUUAGUCUAGCAUUCAUUAGCUAAUGGUGUCCUUUGGUUUUUAUUAAAAUCACCACAGCAUAGGGGGACUUUACGUGUAGGUUUUGGCUAAGAGUUAGCUUAUCUGCUUCUUGUGCUAACAGGGCUGUUGCUACCAGGGCCCUUGGACAAGGGGGUCAGCCUUUGGAAACCCCGUCUAGUUGUUUCGAGAGAUAGGCCACUGGCCUUGGCCAGGGCCCUAUAGUCUGGGUUAAAACUACAACUGCCUUUUUUUUUUUUUUUUUUGACACAUAGGGUGUAAAGAGUUUUGUCAGGUCAGGUAGCCUCAGGGCUGGGGCCAACAUGAGUUUUUCUUUUUAACUCAUGAAAAGCCCAUUGCUAUUGGUUGUAAUAGAUAUAGUUUAUCUAAUCUACAUUUUAUUGACUGUCAUCUACCAAAAUAUUGACUUAAACCUUGUAACUGUUUGAUUUGAAGCUUUAAAUUGAUCUGGUAUUCCCUGGGGGCUUCAAUUGCAUCUAAAUAAAUGCGAGAGUUGAAAGACCUAUAAGGGGCUUCUCUCACUUUACGAUGUCUUAUUAUUAUUAUUUUUCCUUCCUCUGGUAGAUGAAAUGACAGGGUGAAAGGGAUAGUCAAAUGGACUAAAGCACAAGUGCCACUCUAGUUAUUUGGCAGAGUGCCCAGUAAAGGUCCCCCACAAUACCAUCACACAUCUGCACAGGGAUGAACAAGGGCUGACUGAUUGAUAAGCUCUUGAAAAUUCUUAAGCUCACCGCAUCCCUUUAGGUCUCCAAGGAAUGCUAAGUUUCCUCCCUGCCGUGAGAGACAGGAAGUGAACUUAGUGUUGGGAGAUGGAAGCUGGAUGGCCCUCAGGGGCUGACCUUCAGGGACUUCGGGAUAUAGCAGAGAGAGCUUCACAUGACUUACUACUCCAGGAUGUAGAAUCCUGGAAAAGAGCUACCAUGCAGCCCACACCUGGUCGACUGGAGGACCACCUUAGUGGAAGGGAGACAAUCUGGGCCUCUGGCCUGCCAUGUGCACAAGCAUAACAAUUGCUUUUGUUUAACAUGCAGAUGGAAUAUUUGAUCCAUUUCAACCAGGCAUUUGCAUCUUGGUAUGUUGUCUUAAUUGCCAAAGUUUGUUUUAAGUCUUUAACUUUUAUGUUCCUCUAGUAAAAUGAAUGUUUCCCUUAGCACCAAUUUUUAUUAGUUUUUAGACCAAAGAAAGCUAAACACCAUUUUAUAUUUAAUAAUGUUUCUUGUAUGAUUUUCAUACCAGAUAUGCUAAAUUUUACCUUUAUAUUAGUGUGUUUUUAAUAUUAAACUUAACUUUAAUAAAACCUUGUCGACAUAUUUCUCCAGUUUUUCAUGUUUGACCAUAAGGUAAGAUUUUAUAGGCUUUUUUUAACCUUUUAUAAUUUUUGUUAAAGAGCAGUUUGAUGUUUUAUGAAAAAAACCUGUUGCAUUUUUACUUUCAUGUCCAGUUCACAGAAAAACUGGAUGAUACCUUUUAACUUUAGCUAAUAUGUUUACACACAGAAUUUUCUUUACAAUUAAUGUUUUAAAACUUGCUUAAACUUUUAAAACAGUUUUUUUAACCUUUUAAUGUAGGUAAAAAAUCCACAUUCUUAUGCCUCCUUAUAAUCUUUUUACCAAAGGUAUAUUUUACUUUUUUAUACACUUUGCACAUAAACUGUUUCUUCAAUAGUACUCAGGAGGCCUUAUUACUUUUAAAUUAUACAACAUUCUUUGCAUAAAAAUUUUUAUAACAUUUUUUCUUUCACGACUUUCCCUGACAAUUCUUCAACAUGUCUUAACUUUCUGACUUAUUACAAACUUUUUUUUCUCUUUAAACCACCAGUUAAUUUAUUUCAGGACAAGAAUUUACCAUAUAACAGUCUUUUUACAUAAAUUUUUCCUCCCCCUCUUUUUUUUUGUUUGAAGAUAACCAUUCCUUUUUUUAAAGAGAACUUUCUUUAUAUCUUUGGACUAGACUGUUUAAGGCCACAAGAUUAGAAGUUACCAUAAUACAUGUUACACUGUUAACUUUUAGCAAUCUUCACUUUUGUUGAAAACCUUGUAAGUUUGAGAUGUCAAUUAUCCUUUGCUAUUAAUAAGACCUUGUUUAGUCUAAACUAACUUAGAAUUGGUAUAGAUGGCCUCUUUUUCUCUCUGCUGGUCUUUCCUUGCCUCUGCCAGCCACUUAUGCUGCUGUUCUCUUAACUACUGUAGUGGGAGGAAAGGGGGUCUAAAACCAGCUGUAACUGUCUAUGUACGAAAACUGGUCUGGGUACUUUGGCUUACCCAGGUUACCUUGUGCCGUACCUUUGAAACAAGGGACCUGUCCAGGCAUCCUUCUGAUGGCCAACCCACCUCUAAUGCUAGCCAGUCUAUUUCACACAAAGUUCUAAGUUUUCCUGGUGUCAUAGUAACACCGUAAUCUCCCUUAAAUUCUUUCUUGAAAUUUUUUUUUAACAUAGUUCUCAGUGGGGUGGGCUUACUUUGCACCUGACCCAUGUUUUUUUGAGAUAAAACACCAUGCUCACACAACACACACACCACAAACAAAGAAGAGGAAAGAGGGCACACACACACUUUUGCAAUUUACACAAAACCAAAAUCAAAACCAAAAUCAGAGAAAUCCAACAAAUCCAAGCCAGAUCAAAAACCUAAACCAAAGUAUCCAGCAAUUCAAGUCAAGUCAAAACCAGAACAAAGAUGCCAAUACAGGCAAACCGUGGGUGAUGAGGCCACGCUUCCACUCAGAUGGAGUGGGGCAAGUUCAAAAGACUAGUCUUACCAAGUCAAGCCAAGUCAAAACCAGAACAAAGAUGCCAGUACAGGCACACUGCGGGUGAUCAGGCCAUGCUUCCACUCAGGUGGAGUGGGGCAAGUUCAAAAGACUAGUCUUACCAAGUUUCAGAUGUCUGGACUCCAAGUGCCAGUUCCUUCCUGGUGUUCAGCCACUGUGUUUAUCCUCCGCGGGGGCCUGCCAAGCGCUGCUCUGGUGAGGCAUCCCACUGGGGCAUUUUCCUACCCAGGAGCGCUGUUUGGAUCGCGUCACUCAGGCUGGCUGGAGUCCCCCGCAGAGAUGCUCCACAGGGCACGUCUAAGCCGCCUAAGGUGCUGCCUCGGCAGUCCGUCAAUUACCUCACUUCCCGGUCAGGGAACCAAGAAAUGUAGCAGGACGAGCUGCAGACAAAACUUCUCAGACAUCGAGUUGUAGAAGGAAGGGCUUUAUUCAGCUGGUAGCAUCGGCAAGCUACUGCCUUAAAAUCCAAGCUCCCUGAGUGCACAGUUUCUGUCCCAUUUAAGGGCUCACAACACUAAAGAUUUUACAUGAAAGGGUCGUGAUUGAUUCAGUCAAGCAAGGGGUACGUGACAGGG
rnacentral:lncRNA from 1 species